GGCCUGGUGGUGUAAUGGCAACAUGUCUUGUGUAAUUAUUGAGUCAGCUUGGUGUAUCCCAGGAAGAUCCCUGUUCAACUCAGGGUCAGGCCA